rnacentral:rRNA from 1 species
UACAGAGGUCUCAAGCGUUGUUCGGAUUCAUUGGGCGUAAAGGGUGCGUAGGCGGCGCGGUAAGUCGGGUGUGAAAUCUCGGAGCUUAACUCCGAAACUGCAUUCGAUACUGCCGUGCUUGAGGACUGGAGAGGAGACUGGAAUUUACGGUGUAGCGGUGAAAUGCGUAGAUAUCGUAAGGAAGACCAGUGGCGAAGGCGGGUCUCUGGACAGUUCCUGACGCUGAGGCGACGAAAGGCGUGGGGAGCGAACCGG